CUGGAAGGCUAACUCAGGGGGGGAAAUUGAAGCCAGUGCAUUUUAGUUUUUCUGAGUUAUGAGCAGAAAUACUGAACACUGAACGUUGGGCUAUAUAUCAAAUUGAAGCUCUUGAAAAACGCUAUUUGGUGUAGAAAUUUCAAGACUUUAGCUAAAAGGGAAAUAUUGAAAAACUACAAACAUAAUUACCGAUAAUUUGCCGUUUUGCAGUUGUUUUUGUAUUUUUUAGAUAUUUUUCUUUUCGCUGAAGUCUUGAAAUUUCCACACCGAAUAGCAAUUUUCAAUAGCUUCAAUUUGAUAUAUAGCCCGACGUUUGGGGUCAAGUAUUUCUGCUCAUAACUCAGAAAAACUAUUUUGGCUUCAUCAAAUCAUAGGCCUUCAUCAUAGCAGUUAGCCUUCCAGUUUAUUUAUAGUUCAAUGCAUGCACCU
rnacentral:lncRNA from 1 species